rnacentral:lncRNA from 1 species
UGAUAUAUUAUAUUCUAGUAAAAUGGAAGUAGAGGAGGGAACCCUACUGGCCUUUUCUGCACCUCUCAACUGUAUAAUUUCUGAACUCCGUGAAUUCAACAAAGCCUCACCGGAGAUCCAAACACUAGUACAAAAUAUCAAAGAAAAACAUCUGCAAUCACAAGGGUAUGAAAUUAAGAAUGGAUUAAUUUUCUGCAAGGGAAGAUACUCAAGCAAUUCUGAUUUUAUACUCAAACUGUUGAAAGAAUUCCACGACAGUUAUAUAGGGGGCACUCAGGAAUUGAUAGAACUUUCAACAGAAUUUCCACUAAUUUUUGGUGGAAGGGCAUGAUGAAAGACAUCAGAAAUUACGUUAAAAACUACAUAAUAUGCCAGAAGAUAAAGCCAAUCAAUCUCAAGAGUGGUGGGUUACUUAUGCCUCUACCUAUUCCACCUUCAGUUUGGCAUGAUUUAUCAGUCGGCUUCAUCACUCAUCUUCCUAAAGUUCAGAAUAAGUCCGUGAUCAUUGUAGUGGUUGACAGGUUAUCAAAGGGGUGUCAUUUGGGGGCUCUGCCUGCCAAUUAUAAUGCACAGAUGGUGGCUGAUUUUUUCGUCAAGGAAAUCAUAAGACUUUAUGGCUAUCCUAAUUCAAUAGUCUUGGAUAGAGACAAGGUCUUUACAUCAAAUUUCUGGAGGGAGUUAAACAAAUUAAGUGGAACUAAGCUGAAUUUUACAUCAUCCUAUCAUCCACAAAGCGAUGGUCAAACUGAAGUAGUGAAUAGAGGAGUUGAAAUGUAUCUCAAAGCACUUGCACAUGACAAGCCUUAAAAAUGGCUAUAACUCUUACCUUGGGCAGAACUAUGGUUUAAUACCAAUUUUAAUGAAUCCCUUGGAAGCACCUCAUUCAAAGUAUUGUAUGGAAAAGAUGCUCCAAUCUUUCCUCAAUUUAUACCAGUAGAUUCCUCCAUCGAGGCAGUGGAAGUCAAUUUGCAAGAGAGGAAUAAGGCAUUGAAAAAUAUCAAAACUAAUCUCUCCAGAGCACAAAACAGAAUGAAGAAAAAUGCUGAUAAGCAUAGAAGGGAGAUAGAAUUCAAAGAAGGUGAUCUAGUACUAGUGAAAUUACAACCAUACAGACAAUCAUCUACUGCCUACAGGUUUCACAACAAGUUAUGUUUGAAAUAUUUUGGACCAUUCAAGGUUAAAGAGAAGAUCAGCUCAGUGGCUUAUAAGCUAGAACUUCCAGCCGGAAGCAAGAUUCAUGAUAGUUUCCAAUCUCCAAACUUAAAGAAUUCGUUGGGACAACUCCAACUACUGUGGAUCCAUCACCACUAUUGUCAGUGGACAAUCAACCUAUACUAUACCCUAUCUCUAUUAUUGAUUACAGGUGCAUUGAUCGAAAUGGGAAGAAGAUACCUCAAUCUCUUGUGUUGUGGAGCGACGCCCUAAUGGAGGACUCUUCUUGGGAGGACGACCUGGAGUUGCAGCGUGCGUUUCCCUCUAUACACCUUGAGGACAAGGUGAAUCCUUGGGGAGGUGGCCAUGUUAAAGACAGAGCAGCAACCACGAAGAUAAUUAGCAAAGACCUAGGUUGGACUGUGGAGCUCACCGGAGAAACAGAGAUACCGGAGGUCAACCCAACAACUUCCGUUGAAAAGUUGGGAAUCGCCCAGACCCAGCUCCAAAUAGGGGACCGCCCGACCCGAAUAAGAAAACCCUCGAUUUGGGUUACAGACUACGCCUAAUGAAGGUUGAUUAUGGGGGCAUUUGCAGCAACACCCUC